rnacentral:rRNA from 1 species
UGGGGAAUUUUGGACAAUGGGGGCAACCCUGAUCCAGCAAUGCCGCGUGUGUGAAGAAGGCCUUCGGGUUGUAAAGCACUUUUGUCCGGAAAGAAAACGUCGUGGUUAAUACCCGUGGCGGCUGACGGUACCGGAAGAAUAAGCACCGGCUAACUACGUGCCAGCAGCCGCGGUAAUACGUAGGGUGCAAGCGUUAAUCGGAAUUACUGGGCGUAAAGCGUGCGCAGGCGGUCCGCUAAGACAGAUGUGAAAUCCCCGGGCUUAACCUGGGAACUGCAUUUGUGACUGGCGGGCUAGAGUAUGGCAGAGGGGGGUAGAAUUCCACGUGUAGCAGUGAAAUGCGUAGAGAUGUGGAGGAAUACCGAUGGCGAAGGCAGCCCCCUGGGCCAAUACUGACGCUCAUGCACGAAAGCGUGGGGGAGCAAACAGGAUUAGAUACCCUGGUAGUCCACGCCCUAAACGAUGUCAACUAGUUGUCGGGUCUUCAUUGACUUGGUAACGUAGCUAACGCGUGAAGUUGACCGCCUGGGGAGUACGGUCGCAAGA